UUCUGGAAAACACACGCAUGAUGAAGUCACAUGAUGUCAGAGCGACAUCAGAGCGAUGUCAGGUCUUACCUCCACGUAGACGUUCAUCCCUGCCGCUGUCAGAACAUCUCUGAUCUCAGCACAGGACGGGUUCUCCACGGCCUGCAGACACAUGAACUGCAGUUCUGAGGAGGUUCUCUGGUGGAUUUUUCGGCUCUAACAGUGAUGUUCUGCUGGUGAGACGUGAUACGAACCUUCUCUGUUGGGAUCCUUCGACCUUCAGCCAGCGUCUUCUUACUGUUGAUGUAGAUCGGAUAGACGCAGAUGAACCUGGAACAAAAAGUAGAAACAUGGAUCCAUCCAUAGAUAAAUCCUCCCAGGAACUUUAUUGAAGUUUGGCACUUUUUUCUGUCUUCAAGGCCCAAUAAUUAGACUGUGUUCUCUGUUGGAUCCAUCCAGUCCUUCAGAUCUAAUAGAAACUGUUCUGGUUCUGUUCUCUGUUGGAUCCAUCCAGUCCUUCAGAUCUAAUAGAAACUGUUCUGGUUCUGUUCUCUGUUGGAUCCAUCCAGUCCUUCAGAUCUAAUAGAAACUGUUCUGGUUCUGUUCUCUCCACAUUUCAUGACUGUUGCAGUUUUAUUUCUGCAGAUAUUUAAUAUUUAAAUGGCUUUCCGUGCUUCUUUUUGAAGGUGAAAACACAAAAGUUCACAGAUUAAAUUCUAAAUUUCAUCCAAAAGUAUUUUCCAGAUGUUAGUUUUGGUUCUUAAAUAACAAAUAAACAGUUUUAGGACUCA